rnacentral:hammerhead_ribozyme from 1 species
AUCCAGCUGACGAGUCCCAAACAGGGCAAAACCCACGUUAUCCUGGAU